rnacentral:lncRNA from 1 species
GCUUGAAGGUAAAGUGGCCCUAAUCACUGGUGGGGCGAGCGGCAUAGGAGAGUCCACUGCAAGACUCUUCUCAAAACAUGGAGCUAAAGUUGUGAUUGCAGAUGUGCAAGACGACUUGGCUGAAUCUGUUUGCAGAGACCUAAGCCCUUCGCCCACUUUGUUUGUCCAUUGUGAUGUAACGAAAGAAGAAGACGUCGAAAACGCUGUCCAAACAACCACAAACAAAUAUGGAGAGCUAGACAUCAUGUUCAACAAUGCAGGUAUAAUUGGCACGAAUAAACCCAACAUCCUUGACAAUGACAAGGUAGAAUUUGAGCAAGUGAUAAGGGUAAAUCUAGUUGGUGCGUUUUUGGGGAUCAAACAUGCAGCUCGUGUUAUGAUCCCAGCUGGAAAAGGUAGCAUAAUAAACACUGCUAGUGUUUGUUCUACCAUCGGGGGUUGCGCAUCACAUGCAUACACAAGUUCAAAGCAUGGUUUAGUAGGGCUGGUGAGAAACACGGCCGUGGAGCUUGGACAACAUGGUAUUCGUGUGAAUUGUGUGUCACCGUAUGCAGUUGCCACGAAGUUAGCAAAGGAGUUCUUUAAGAUUGAUGAUGAUGGAGUUCAUGGUGCUUAUUCCAACCUUAAAGGUAGGGUUCUUAAGGCAGAAGAUAUUGCUGAAGCUGCUCUUUACUUGGGUAGUGAUGAGUCAAAGUAUGUUAGUGGGCAUAAUCUUUUGGUAGAUGGAGGCUACACUAUUAUGAACGCAGGGUUUUGCAUGUUUGAACAAGCUUGAGAAAAAUGUUCAAUGUAAUAAGUUGGCAAAAUAAAUAAUUUGCGCAGCGUCUCUUACGAACCCUUACUUGUGAAUGUUUGCCACAUAACACAGCACAGCAGCUUCCUCCAGUGGCAGUAAUACUUGUGAUAUUCAUUUUUUCUGUGCCAUCACAUGCGUACCCUGUCCUAAAUUGUACCUAAGUAUAAAUAUCUCUUCCACAAACACAUGCCACACCUCGACAUUAAACAGAGAAGCACUAAUUCACACCAUUUUUAAAAUAAUUUUUUUUUUUAUAACAAAUUACAAAGAAGAUCCUCUUCCAUGUAGCUGGCAUGGCAUGAAAGAGAUGUUGUAAAUAUGUGGAUGGCCCACAACUAUUAGGAUGAAGACUUUUGUGUGUUAUAGGUGAAAGUGAAAAGACUAAAGUUAAGGCUGUGUAGAAAAUGUUACAACACCCGGUGAAUUGCUUAUCAAAUUCACUGUGGUAGCUGUAAAUUUUCGCUAUAAAAGGAAUCCUGAGCUGAUGAAGCUAGACACACCAAUCAAAAGAGAAAAAUGAGAGAGAAAUCAGAGAGUUAAGUUUUAUCCGAGAGAGAAAAUUCUAUUAGUGUAAUAUCACAACAGCAAAUACAAUCUCACUCUAAUAUUCACUAGUACUUUCAUAUUUUAUAACAAAAGAAGCAAUAAUUCACACAAGUGUCUUUUUCUUUUUUGAUGAAAACAAAAAUUACAAAGAAGAUACUCUACGAAUCUUUAAAUAAAAUAAAUCAAAUUUGAAAUGUAUAAAACCUGAGAUGGGAAAUUGAUAAACCAUAUCAAGGGUCCCACGACUGCAACGUGGGUAAUUCUUUUAUUUUCCUGCCCUAUAGCUGACAUGGGAUGAAAGGGAAGAAGACUAGGGUAAUUUUAAUCUAAUAGAUAUGCUCAUUCUACCGCAAUAAUAAUACUAAUAAUAAUCUAAACAUAUCGAGAUAAUUAUUGUUGUGACUGUAACACCGCUCGUAAUGUUGUUAAACCAAUCCGCAAAUGUUUUCACACAUAUAUUUGACUUUAAAUUAUAUUAUUUAUUUAUAUUAUAACAUGUAAGUUUAUAAUAACAUCAUGUUAUCGUGCGUUAAUAUCUUAUAAAAAAUUUAUCUUAUAAUUAUAUUCAACAUAAUUGAGUUCAAUCACAUACGGUGUGAGUGGUAGUUGGUAGCACAAAUAAUUGUUCUAAAUAUAAGCAUAUGGUGUGAAAAGUAUUCAUAACGUGCUGCAUAAAAUUCACAUGGGUUGUUUGAAAGUUCUAAAUAUAAGCAUGUGGUGUGAAAAGUAAUCAUAACGUGAUGCAUAAAAUUCACAUGUGUUGUUUGAAAGUUCUAAAUAUAAGCCUGCGGUGUGAAAAGUAUUCAUAACGUGCUGCAUAAAAUUUACUUGUGUUGUUUGAAAUCGACUUAGAGCUAGUUGGGUAUUGCUGUGCUUUUUUUAAAAUUUUAAAUAAUAAAAAAAAACUGCUUUUGUUGUGCUAUCAUAAUAAAUAGCUGUGAAAUGAAGCAAUGAAGUAUUUGGUAAUCUAUAUUUGUAAAAGUGUUGUGAGUAUAAAAAACAGUGUCAUAGUGUUUGGUAAACUUUUUUCAAGAAGUACUGUGAUUGUGUAUAAUGACCAAAAAGGGUAUGAUAUUGAAAUUUUAUAUUUAUAUUUUUUCUAAUUUAAAAAAAUUGAUAUUUAUGUUCUUUUACAAUGAUUUACAAUUUUUUUAAUAAUCUUAAUAGUAACUAGUCUCUGCGCUUCCGCACCUAAGAGAGGCUUUUUAAAAAAAAAUUAUUUAUUUUAGAAUUAAAAAAGAUAAUGGGUAGUUGUGUUUCAUAAAAAUAAUAUUUUUCUUUUAUUUUUAAUAUGAAAAAGUGUGAAUUUACCAUAUUAUCCUCAUUUAAUUAAUAAUUUUAAUUCUUAAUGUUUGCAUUAACCAAGUGCAUUUUCUGUAUUUUGAAUGUUUUACUAUUCUCUGCCUUUUACUUUAUAUAAUAGUCAUAUACACUAAAAAAAAAAGAAAAAAAAAAGAAAAAAUGGUCUCUGGAAUUCUUUUAAUGGUCUCUGUUUUUUUUAACAUUGCCACCAUCGACCUGCAACCCACGCCCAACUUCCCUACCCUCUCCCUCUGUAAUUUCUCUCCUCCUUUAACCUCCCCCUCUGUUUUUAAUUAUUUUAAGUUGUUUGAAUAAAUGUUUGUGUAAAAGGAAAUGUGAAACUACCUUGUGCAAGUAAUUAUUUUGCAAAAUAUACAGAGGGAGAAGGGUGGGUUGCGGGUGGGCAUGGGGUGGUCGGGUUGUAGAGACAAGAAAAAAACAGAGGGAGAGGGAGAGCAGAAGAAGGAGAGAGGGUAGAGAGAGAGAGAGAGAGAGAGAGAGAGAGAGAGAGAGGCUAAAUGAAUUUUUAAUGGAUUUUCAUAAAAAAAAAUUAGUUAUUUAUUUAUUUAAUCCACAUGUCAUGAUGUGAUUGGACAUGUGGGCUCCACUUAUCUUCCACAUCAGACACUUAACAUAAUAUCUAACGGCAGAGACCAUUUGUGAUUGAAAAAAAAAAGUAAAUUUAGGUUUUAGCCAUAAAAAAACUUUCACUUUUGGAAAAAGCCAAAGCUUUUUCAAAAAAGACAGAAAAACCUCUCGACUUUCUAAUCAAAGACAUGCAAAUGUAAAGGAUUCCUUGAGAAAUCCAAAAUUAAAUAAAGGCAAUUUUGUCCAUUUUGACUUCUUUUAAAAAAUUUCUCUCUCCUUUGGGUUUUUCCAAAGUCUCCCAAAAAAAAACCCUAACGUUAAGAACUAUUAAUGUCACAAAAAACCUCAAAGACCGAUCGUGAUAAUUUUGUAAACGUUAAGGACUAUUUAUGAUUAAAAAAAAACUUUAAAAAAUUAAAAAACAGUUUUAUCUUGAUUUACCAAACACUUUUUCAUUCAGAAUUUUAAAAUCACAACAACUCCAAUCUAAGCCUUAUAAAUACAGCUACAAGUCUACAACAAAGUUACACUCGGAAGUCCAAAGGAGAGCUUAGAAUGACUUUGGUGUAGGUCUCAAGAAGCAAACAUUCUUGUUAUAGAGGUUUAAAGGAGUGAUGGCUAUCGGAAAUUUCUCAUUACUAGCUGCUGCUGCAAGAAGGUAUAUUAUAAUUUAUAUAUGCAUCUAUUUAUUUUCUUCUAUUUGCUUUUUUUUAUCCUCUUCACACCUCCUAAAAUCUUAUUAUUUUCAUUUUAUCCUAACUUGUCCCAAUUAAAACAAGAUGAUUGUAUUCUUCUUUGUUUUUUCUUUUGUUUUCUAGGAUGGUCGUCGAUGUCAUGACUAUGGCUCUGGUAACUAUCAUGGCUGUGUCCUAAAUUUUUUUAUGAAUUCUAAUUAUGUUUAAAAAAAAUAAUAAUAAUAAGAGGAUGAACAUAAGAUGUAAAAAGAAAUAGAAUUAAUUGAUUUCAAUCGGUCUUUGACUCCUGUCAAAAAAAUUAAAAUAAAAUGGGGCUUUGAUUAAUUAGUUAUUUUCCACAGAAAACAACACUCAGUAGUUAAGCCGACCAUUGUUGUUGGUGUACUCUUUGUAUUGACACUUUGUGGCUAGAGACCCUCUUUAUGGUUGUAUUAUUGAAGUAAUUUUCAGUUGCUAAAGAUGUCCUUACUUUGUUUCCUUUUUCAAUAUUUCUCAAUAGUUUCAUUAUAACGUUUAUAUUAAAUGAAUGUUUUAUAUACAUUUUUAUUUCAUGAAAAAUAAAUAAAAAUAAAAUCUAUAAAAUAGACCCAAGGGUGAAAUCGAAUCAAUGACUAUGGUGGGCUGUAGCCCAAGUAGAUUUUGAAGGAAAAAAAAAAGUCUAUUUAUAUGUUCCACCAGCAACAAUUUUGCUGCCUUUUGGCGAAAGUUUUUUUAAGGUGAAAAAAAAAAAAGGCUAUAUGGCCCACCAUCAAAUACAACACAUAAGAUUCAGGAAAUAUAUAUUUUUUUUUGUCAAAUCAAUUUGUGUGCUCUGCUACUAGCCUCUCUGCACGCGCUUCCGCGCUUGCGAGAGGUUUUUUUAAAAAAAUAAGUAAAUUUAUUUUAGAAUUAAAAAAGAUAAUGGGUAGUUGUGUUCCAUAAAAAUAGGAUCCAUUAUCUGCUUUUUCUUUUUCUUUUAAUUUUUUUAAAUAUGAAAAAGUGUGAAUUUACCAUAUUAUCCUCAUUUAAUUAAUAAUUUGAAUUCUUAAUGUUUGCAUUAACCAAGGGCAUUUUCUGGUAUUUUGAAUGUUUCAUCAUUCUCUACCUUUUACUUUAUAUAUAUAGAUUUAACAAAAAGGGAAAAGCUAUUUAAUAUUGGACGGUCCAAUAAAAAUCCUCAUAAAUCUUUCAACCCGCAAUUGCAGACUCGGUAAGUAAUUGAAAUUCAUAAGUAAGAAGAGGGCUUCAAAAAUGGAACAGUAUGUUAACUAUUGUUUUGUGUUUACAACUAACACACACACACACACACACACUAUAUAUAUAUAUAUAUAUAUAUAUAUAUAUAUAUUCCUAGCUAAAAAUUUUGAUGUCUCUUUUUAGCUAAAAUUUUUAGGUAGCCCAUCCAUUGAUAAAUUUCUAGUUCCGCUUUAGUCACAGUUCCGCCCUAGUCACAUAAGGAUAAUGUACAUGAAAUUUAUUGAAGUCAAUUACAUUAAAACUCUUUGAGAUAUAUACAUAAGCGAUAGUCUAAAUUAUUCUAAAUUAAUCUAAUCUUCAAAGAGAGGAAUUUGAAAUUGGAGUGCACAGGCUCUUUGCUGUGUCAAUUAAAUUAUGAACCUAUGAUUUAACCCUUACACCUUUGACGAAUAUCAUAGCACAAUUAAAUUAUGAACCUAUAUUUGCUAAUUAUCUUACAAGAAGAACAUUGGAGACUAGGGAUCGGAGACAAAAACUCUAUUUUAUUUCAAAAUUUUCCCUUCAGUAAUUUUUAUAUGAAGUUCAUUUUCCCCUUUGUCGUUCUAAAUCCAACUUCCUUAUUUACAUUGAGUGGAACACAAGACUUUCGCCAUUGUUAUCAUGUUUUUUUGUUGAAACUCACAUUGCUUUGUAAAUACUGAAGGCUUGAAGGUAAAGUGGCCGUAAUCACUGGUGGGGCGAGCGGUAUAGGAGAGUCCACUGCAAGACUCUUCUCAAAACAUGGAGCUAAAGUUGUGAUUGCAGAUGUGCAAGACGACUUGGCUGAAUCUGUUUGCAGAGACCUAAGCCCUUCGUCCACUUCAUUUGUCCAUUGCGAUGUAACGAAAGAAGAAGACGUCGAAAACGUUGUCCAAACAGCCACAAACAAAUAUGGAAAGCUAGACAUCAUGUUCAACAAUGCAGGUAUAGCUGGCAUGGUAAAACCCAACAUCCUUGACAAUGACAAGAUAGAAUUUGAGCAAGUGAUUAGGGUAAAUCUGGUUGGUGCGUUUUUGGGGAUCAAACAUGCAGCUCGUGUUAUGAUCCCAGUUGGAAAAGGUAGCAUAAUCAACACUGCUAGUGCUUGUUCUGUUGGAAAUUAGGAAUGUUAUUAAAUUGUUAUUUAGUUUCCUUUUAUUAGUUGAUUGUAAUUGAUUUGGAGUAGUCUCCAAGUAACCUAGUUUUCCUAGUUAAGCCUGUAAUAUCUCUAUAAAUACUUAGCCUUUUGGCUCUAUCAAUAACAACUGAGAAUUAUUCUUCUUAACAAAUUCUCUAAUUUCACAUGGUAUCACAGCACUGAUUCUAGGGCGUCUCUUGAAACUUUUUUACAAACCUUAUUUUCUUCACAAUCCGAUGUUUCACAACCCUAGUUGCUAAUCUUUGAAAUCCUUUGCCAAAUUGAGAGUCGUUGGCGCUUUUCAUCCCUCACCCAUGAUGGGUAUUCAUCUUGUAUAGUCGUCUUAUUCACCCUCUCCUCAAUGAUCAAUAUUUUAUUCCCGCUACCAAAGCCAUACCAUCCCACAGUUCCUACAUCUAACUAAACCAACAGUCGCACCCUUCUUUGGCGCUGCAAUUUCCUUAUGUUUUUCAUACAAGUAUUGCUCUCUAUACAAAUCAUAUUGAGCCAUCUCUAGUCAUGCUCUCUGUUGCAAUCAGAUAUUGAGCCCAUGUUUUGAUGUCUACUACGCUUGCCACAACCACGGCAUCUUCGGCCUUCACCGAGCCUACCCAUCAUUUUUUUAAGUCGUCUACACUUGCGGCAGGCACGCCGUCUUCAUUGCGAUUCCUUCGUGAGCCUCGUCACUGCUCACUAAGCCGUUUAUUUCCUCCAUGAGCCUUGUCACCGCUCACCGAGCCGUUAUUUUCCUCCACGAGCCUCGUCAACGCUCGUCGAGCCUUUCAUUUGACUGUUCUGCCGGUCUCUGGUUAUUUUCCUCCGUGAGCCUUGUCACCGCUCACCGAGCCGUUAUUUUUCCUCCACGAGCCUCGUCAACGCUCGUCGAGCCUUUCAUUUGACUGUUCUGCCGGUCUCUGGUUAUUUUCCUCCACGAGCCUCAUCAACGCUCGUCGAGCCUUUCAUUUGACUGUUCUGCUGGUCUCUGUCUUCUUCAGCUACUCUCUUGAGUUGCCUUUUCGCUUCUCAGUUUGAGCACCUUAUCUUUGUCUUUGUCUCUGUUCAUGAUUUGCUGGGUUUCCUCCCUUACUAUUCUCCUUUUUUGAAGUUUUUUUCUUCAUGAGACAGCCGUAUGCUACCACAUUCCCCUCUUGCAUUUGUUUCUGCCAUAAGACUGGCAUGUUUGAGUCUCUUUACUAUUAUUUCAAUUUCUCUUCUUUCAAAUCUUGACCAUUUAUCAGUGUCAAAUUUGAUGGGGAGAUAGAUGCAACUUUAUUUGGGUGCUACUUCCUUCAACUCACGACUCUCAUACAUCGUCGGAUUUGAGAGGAGCAACAACCCCCUUUACAGCAGCUCACCGCUGCUCCAUUUGCCUCCAAAUUUGCCUUCAUUACAACAGUGACACAGCUGCGACACAGCUGCCCCCUCUACAGCAGUGACACCACUGCCUCUUUAUCAGCAACCUUUGGGAGUAACACCUUUCACAAUCUCUUGUGCAAGUUGGACGUUCUUGAUAUCCACUCUCCAACUUGAGGGGGAGUGUUGGAAAUUAGGAAUGUUAUUAAAUUGUUAUUUAGUUUCCUUUUAUUAGUUGAUUGUAAUUGAUUUGGAGUAGUCUCCAAGUAACCUAGUUUUCCUAGUUAAGCCUGUAAUAUCUCUAUAAAUACUUAGCCUUUUGGCUCUAUCAAUAACAACUGAGAAUUAUUCUUCUUAACAAAUUCUCUAAUUUCACAUGUUCUACCAUCGGGGGUUGCGCACCACAUGCAUACACAAGUUCAAAGCAUGGUUUAGUAGGGCUGGUGAGAAACACGGCCGUAGAGCUUGGACAACACGGUAUUCGUGUGAAUUGUGUGUCACCGUAUAUAGUUUCCACGCCUUUAGUGAAGGAGUUCUUUAAGCUUGAUGAUGAUAAACUUCAUGGUGUUUAUUCCAACCUUAAAGGUGGGGUUCUUAAGGCAGAAGAUAUUGCUAAAGCUGCUCUUUACUUGGGUAGUGAUGAGUCAAAGUAUGUUAGUGGGCAUAAUCUUUUGGUAGAUGGAGGCUUCACUAUUGUGAACGCAGGGUUUUGCAUGUUUGAACAAGCUUGAGAAAAAUAUUCAAUGUAAUAAGUUGGCAAAAUAAAUAAAGGAAUGCCUUAAAAAGAUUCAAUAUUUCGCAAAUGUGAUUUAGGGCAAUUGAUCAGGAUAGUGAGCCCACUCCCUUGCACCAAAGUUCAAAUCCUCAUUUCUGUAUAUUAAAUUAAUAAUUUAAAUUGUUUCAACAUUUUUAGACAACACAUGCUAUCUUGUUUCAUCCAUAAUUUGCAGGUCAAAAUGUACGGCUAAUAUCACAUUCUGUGUACCUAAAAUGAAGACCACUAAGCCUUUUUCAUGUGCCGUCACAUUCGUACCUAAAUAUAAAUAUCUCUUUCACAAACAAAUGUCACAUAGUCACCAAACAAAUAUCUUUUCCAUGUAGCAAUAAUUCGCAUGGUAUGAAAGAGAAGCAAUAAUUCGCAGGAGUCUUGUAUUUUUCUUGGCCUUUAUAAAGAAGACCUACAGAUCUUUAAAUUAAAUAAUAAGUCAAAUUUUAAACUUUACAAAACCUGAGAUGGGAAAUUGAUAAACAAUAUACAAAUACAUUUCUUGGCCUUUUGGCUAAGAUCAAAGGUCGCAUGACUGCCGUGUGGGUAAUUCUUUUAUUUUGGUGCUCUAUAGCCGACAUGGUAUGAAAGAGAAGCAACCUAAUAGAUGCACAUUCUACCACAAAAUAAUAAUAUAACAUAUCAAGAAAAUUAUUGUUGUGAUUGUAACACGGCUUGUCCGCAAAUGUUUUAAGUAAAUUUAGGUUUUACCCAUAAAAAAACUUUCACUUUUGAAAAAAGCCAAAGCUUUUUCAAAAAAGACAGAAUAAUCUCUCAACUUUCAAACCAAAGACAUGCAAAUGUAAAAGAUUUCUUAGGAAAUCAAAAAAUAAAUAAGGGCAAUUUUGUCCAUUUUUGAUUCUUUUAAAAAUUUUCUCUCUCCUUUGGGCUUUUCCGAAGUCUCCCAAUGUUUUAACACAUUUAUAUAUAUUAAUGUAUUUUUUUAAGAUUUUUUUUUAUUGAGAGGGACGAUAACAUACUAAAUUUACACACUACAAUGAUACUAUGACUCAGACUUAGAACUUUUCAUGGAGAGUAAUUACAACAAAUCCCUACAUUAAUGGGUCUAGGAGCGGAGGCUUGUUAAGGCCUGAAGGGCCCUGGAUCCUCCCAAAAUUUUGACACAAUUUAAUAUUUGAUCUUCGCUUUCUAUUGGUUUAGGAAGCAUAUAUAAUAAUUAUUGCUUGUGGCCCCUUCAAAAUAAAGAAAAGAUGUGUUUCUCUUUACAAGUAAAAGAUUGAGUGAUUUUCUUCACAAAAUAGAAAGACUAAGUGAUUUUAGGACCCACAAUAUAUUAAUAAAAAAUAAAAACAUCCAAUCAAAUAAAGUUUCAAAAAAUCUCCUUUAUCAAAUAGGAAGUAAAGUUUUACCCAAAUAAAAAGGAUUGGGAUUUUAAUUUUUGUUCCCAUAUGAAGCAACAUGAACUUAGUUUGAAUCAGCCGUACACAACAAAAUAAAAUAAUUAAAUAUGGUUGUUUGCUCUCCAACCUCCUGCUUCAAAUUUUUUAAUUCCAGAUUAGAUAACUUUACAUAGUCAUAGUUUUUUCCUUUGUUUAUUUAUUUUUUAUGAGAAUAUAUUUGUAUAUGUUUAUAUGAGUGAAAAUUGAAGUUUUCAUUGUUAUAGUUAUAUGUUUCGUAUCUUAUAUGUUCUAUGCAUAGAAUAUGAAUUUUUUAUUUAUGAAUCAAGUCCUUAAUAAAUUUUGUAAUUGAUUUGUAGAUGAAGAAACAACCUAGAAGACGAAUUUCUCACGGACUCUUUGAUUAUGUACAUCGAAAGGGAAAUUGCAGAAAAGUUUAGCAUUGAUUCAAUCAUAGAUGGUUUUCAAGAUAUGAAAGAACGACGAGUGUUAUUUUGAAACCUAAUUGAAUGAACAAUUGUUUUCUGCCUUUUAUUUUUCCAAACAUUGUUAAGAUUGAAAAAUUGAAAUUUUUUAAUGUCUUGUUUGGUUUAUAUGUUGUCCCACACCACCGCCCCAACACAUUGUUUGGUCAUACGUCCAUAUUAAAACAUGUAAAUUCAUAAUAUCACGAGUGUUGUGUUCAUGUCCCACCAAAAGUUUGUUGUAAUUGUAUUGAAUAUAAUUGAGUUUAGUCAAGGCCGAUCCUAAGAUUUUGAGGGUCCUGUGCGAAACUUAAACUGAAGACCUCACAUAAUCUAAUAUGAAAAUACUAUAUAAAAAAAUGCCAUAACUUAAUGUCAUAAAACAAUUUUUUUAUAACUAAAAUUCAUCAUCAAUUAGCAUGUAAUACCAAUUACAAAUCAAAUUCAUACAUUUUUUAGUGUUUUCAUUUGAUAAAGUUAAAUAUUAGUAUGUUCGGUAAAAAAAUAAAAAAAAAAAGAGUUAAGACCCUGUGUGAUGGGGCCACUUGCAGCAUGCCAGGACCGGCCCUAAGUUUAGUCAAUUAUGGUGUGAGUAAUAGUUGGUAAGCACAAAUAAUUGUUCUAAAUAUAAACACGUUGCACAAAAUUCACGUGUUUUUUGAAGUGCACUUAUAAAUACAGCUACAAGUCUACAACAAAGUUUCACUGCGAAGUUCAAAGAGAGGUUAGAACGACUUCGGUGGUCUCCAGCAGCAAGUGAAUAUUAUUAUUAUAGAGGUUUAAAAGAUUGAUGAGCAUGGGAAGUUUCUCAUUACUUGCUGCUGCUGCAAGAAGGUUUGUGUUCUUUUGCUUUCUAGGAUGGGCACGUAGUUGCCGUGACUAUCAUGACUAUCUGCAAGUUCUAAAUUUCUAUUUGAAUUCUUAUUAUGUUUAAAAUAAUAAUAAUAAUAGGAUUUAAUUGAUUUCAAUCAUUAGUAAGGCAAUUUUGAUUUUUAAUGAAUGUCAGAUGGAAAAUUUCAAAGCAAUGGGAUGGGACGAUAUAUAAAUAUAUGUUAGGUGCAAAUAGAAUUAAUAGAUCGGUUUAUUUUCCCUCAGAAUGUCAAUACACUAAAAUGACAUUGUUAUUUAUUUGUGUUUUUGGUGAAACUAAACACUUUGCGUUAAUAUUGAAGGCUUGAAGGUAAAGUGGCCCUAAUCACUGGUGGAGCGAGCGGCAUAGGAGAGUCCACUGCAAGACUCUUCUCAAAACAUGGAGCUAGAGUUGUGAUUGCAGAUGUGCAAGACGGCUUGGCUGAAUCUGUUUGCAGAGAUCUAAGCUCUUCGUCCAUCUCAUUUGUCCAUUGCGAUGUAACGAAAGAAGAAGAUGUGGAAAACGCUGUCAAAACAGCCACAAGAAAAUAUGGAAAGCUUGACAUCAUGUUCAACAAUGCAGGCACAGGUGGCGUAGCAAAACCUAACAUCCUUGACAAUGACAAGGCAGAAUUUGAGCAAGUGAUUAGGGUAAAUCUGAUUGGUGCGUUUUUGGGGAUCAAACAUGCAGCUCGCGUUAUGAUCCCAGCUGGCCAAGGGAGCAUAAUUAACACUGCUAGUGUGUGUUCCACCAUCGGGGGCGGCUCAUCACAUGCAUACACAAGUUCAAAGCAUGGUAUAGUAGGGUUGAUGAGAAAUACAGCAGUGGAGCUCGGACAACACGGUAUUCGUGUGAAUUGUGUGUCGCCGUAUAUAGUUGCCACACCGUUGGCAAAGAACUUCUUUAAGCUUGAUGAUAAUGGAGUUCAUGGUGCUUAUUCCAACCUUAAAGGUGGGGUUCUCAAGGUAGAAGACAUUGCUGAAGCUGCUCUUUACUUGGGUAGUGAUGAGUCUAAGUAUGUUAGUGGGCAUAAUCUUUUGGUCGAUGGAGGCUUCACCAUUGUAAACCCAAGGUUUUGCAUGUUUGAACAAUCUUGAGAAAAUGUUCAAUCUAAUAAGAUGGCAAAAGAAAUAAAGGAAUGCCUAAACGUUUAUGUUGUUUUGUUCCAACGAAAGAAUUUCGUACUCUUGCUCUGAUCUUGGAUGUACUUUCUUUGAGAAUCCUCUUCUUAUGGCUCUAAAUAAUGCAGUGGUGUCGAUUUAGUGGGUGUCUCCAGGACAAGAGCCAUUUGUACUAGCCCAAUGGAUUGUUUGUCUCUUCUGCUUAGUUUUCUGCUUGGACUUUGAGCCUCUGUUGUCUAAAACAACAUUAGCCAAACUCAAAGAGGCCUAUUAUUCAUUGAACUCACAUAUAAUCCAAUCCAAAUAACCAAACACUCAAUUAAACAUGGAUAUCUACAGAGGAGGUGCCCAUCAUAUUUCUUUUCAAACAUCGAUUUUUGGGUUCAAGUGAUGUACCAUAGUUGCAAGAUUGAACAUAUGAGGAAAGAAUAUAUAUUUUUGUUUAUUUUUAAAUUGGAGAAAGAUUAUAGACCAUGUGGUGGGAAGAUAGGUGUUUACGAAGGUUUUGGGGGAAAAGAAAAGCUUGCUGAGACAUUGAAAAGGAAAAAGAGAGACUAAUGACUAUCUGGACGAUAACUCAAUUGGGUUAUUUUUCUCUUUCUUAAUUGUCCCUGAUGUCAUUGGACUAGAUUCAGGGAAAUUAUUGCGGUAGAGAGGGGUUAUAGAAAAUUUAUUUUCUAGAGUGAUUUUCCUCAUAUCGUUUCAGGCUUAGCUUUUUAGUUGGCUCAGCCCAAUUGUUAAGUUUUUAUUCAUGUAUGCCAUAUUGUUAUUGGAAUGUUUCCCUUUACAUACUGUACGUGUUCUUUAUACUCGUUUUUCCUAUUAAUAUAAAAAAUAAUUUUUUAUCAAAUUGUGAGGAAAUUGAGCUUUGUGAUGUGUCAACUUUAAGUUUCUUGAAUUAAAUAUGGAAAAAUUAAGGUGGAGAAGAUUCAAGCAGAGAAUUCGAAUCCCAUGAGAAAAAUCCUCAAACUUCAAUCGGUUUCUUGCAAUAUUUUACUAUGUUGGUGCUUUGAUCGUUGAAAUUUGUUUUCGUUGUUUUUUCCAAUGGGCUACUAGAAAAUCUGGAAAGGAACCAAGUUAUCAUGCCUCAAACAAGGAUGACUAGUACUAUAUAUAUCUAUCAACAGAGAGAAACUCUCAUGCAACGGUAUACUCUACUUUUUACUAUUCCCGACCAAUAACAUAAUGAAACGUGAGAUAAUUUUUUCAUGUGUCAUUAUAUUGUUGGCCAGGAAUAGCGAAACAGUGCUAUUCCCGUUACAAGAAAUUUUUUUCUUAUCAAGGAUAUGAUCGCUGCCUUGGAAAGAGAACCUCAUAUGUCGAAGUUUAUGUUGAUAUAUCGGUUUCAUGAGAGAAUCCAAUCCUAGAUACCACUGUGGAAUAAUCUUGAAGUAAAAAGAAAGAAAAAAAAGAUUCAGUUAGAUUCCAUUCAUCAUUGGCCUUAGAAUGUUCUUGCGAAAAUGAUAAAAAAGAGAAAAUGGCAGAGUCGAGGAUAAUGAAACUUCCCUUGUACCACACGACAACCGGUCAAUGCCAGAUUCUCCUCCUAGUUAUUAGCUUUCUUGUAGUACAAGGAUUCAAUAUGAGUACUAGUGGUGGACGCAUGUUGGGACAAGAGGGGUCACACCCCUUGGGAUGCCUGAAAUCUGGCGGUGGACUCCACCGACGACCUCUUGUGUGCAAGGUGCUUGAUGAAAGUCCCCUGUGGGCUUGCCUUGCGCUGCUCUAUAAACUUCUACUAGACGCAUCUGCUCUGCUCUGGCAGCACCACGACUUGAAUUUUUUUUGGGUUGCAGAGGCAGUGAAGAAGAUGAUGUUGGUGAUUUGCCCUAGCUUAUGCCUCAUUUUAGUUGAAACUCACCGUUUCACUAGUUGUAGGCUUUUUUAAAAAGUCUGGGCCAUGUAUGAGUCUGGCCCAAAUAUUUAUUAAUAACUUGUAGUUCUUUUUAAAAAGUCUGGCCCAAAUAUUUAUUAAUAAAACCCUUUAAACUUUUUAGUCUAUACCCAGUGAUAUAUUUAACUAAUAUAUUAGUACAAUAAUAAUUUAUAAAAAUUAAUAAAUAUAUGAUUUUAAUUUUCGUAUACGUGUCGUAUUCAUAUCCUAAUUUUUGGAGAAUUGAAUAUAUGUACUAUCUUUAUGCAUUUUAGUGCUAUUUUUUUCAUAAAAAAAAAAUCGACACUUUUAUACUUUGACCUCUUGAAUCGAGAAUCCUGGAUCCACCGCCACUGCUGAGUACAUAAUCUUCUCCUACCAUAAGUUAGACUUUAUGCACUCAUAUAAAUAUGUACUUUGUACAAUUGAAUAAUACAAGGAAAUGCAAUUUCUAUACAGAUGCAUCAUAUUAGUUGUACUUUGCGCAGCGUCUCUUACGUACCAUUUCUUGUGAUAUUCAUGUUUGUCACAAAACAUAGCAGCUUCCUUCGGUGGCACUAAUACUAAAGCCAGGAGAAAUGGAUGAAAUAGUCAUUAUCUGAUAUUAUCAUGGUAAUAUCUAAAGUAAAUAAUCAAUUGAUUUCGUGUCAUGCAUUAGCAUUUUUACUCUCCAUUUCAUGAAUCAUGAUAUUAUGACACAGGCCCAGUGUCCCACAUAUUUUUCAAAGAAAAUGUGAUUUGUUCGUUGGCUGUAUAUAUGUUUGGUAUUGUACUUAGAUUCAAUUUUAUAAAUUCAAAAACAGAUUUUAAGUUUAAAGUCAUAAAAAUCUGUUUAAUAGGUCUAUUUUAAAAACUCAAAAACAACCCCAUUAUUAAAAAAAGAUAUUUUAUAGUUCUCUCUCUCUCUCACUUUUUUUUUUUUUUUUUCGUUGUUAAUUUCAUCAAUUUGGGAAUUUAGGAUUUCUGAUUUUCUGAUUUUAAUUUCAAUUUUUUUAGAUCUUAAAAAUAGUUUGGAGUUCAAUACUAAACAAGUUUUUAAAACUUAAAAUCACUAUUUAAAAACUCAUUUUUUAAAAAAGAAUUAUAAUUUUUAAAUUUACUAAACGAAAAAGGCUUCAACUUUUAUUUUUUUUUUUGGUUACAAGGAGGGCCUAAGCCCGACAAAAACACAAAGGAGAACUACACUGGGACAAGCCUCGCAGUGGUUCCCCUAGAAGAGUCCAUUGAUCUUGGUUUUAUUGGUGCUCAGUUUACUUGGUGCAGGAAAAAUGAGAAUGGUGUCCUCACUUGGGAAAGAUUGGAUCGCGGUCUGUCCAACAUUAACUGGAGACAUCAAUUUCCCGAGGCCUUUGUCAGACACCUCCCUAGAGUCAAGUCUGACCAUUGCCCCUUACUCAUUAGCCUCCAGUCUGCUCACCUCCCCUGUGCUACUGCCAAACCUUUCAGGUUCCAAGCCAUGUGGCUCCUGCACCCUACCUUUCGCAACUUUGUGGUUGAUAAAUGGGCUAACUUUACUGGAAGUAUCCUCCAAAAAACUCAAGCCCUUUCAUAUGCUCUCACUACUUGGAAUAUGGAAGUGUUUGGGAGUUUAUUUCGAAACAAGAAGAAGCUGCUGGCUAGAAUUGGCGGGAUUCAAAAAGCCCUCUGCAGAAGACACUCCCCUUUUCUGGCUGAUUUGGAAAAAGAGCUCACCAAUGAAUACCAAGCCUUGCUUGACCAAGAAGAACUUUUUUGGUUACAGAAGUCAAUGAACACUUGGCUUAAAGAAGGGGACCGUAAUACCAAGUUUUUCCACCUGUCUACCAUUAUUCGCAGAAGAAGGAACAAGCUGGAGGGCCUCACUAAUGCUCAAGGUACGUGGACUAACGAUAAAAAUGAAAUGGAGUCUAUCAUUGUCAACUACUUCAAGAACCUCUUUGCUGCCCAAACGAUGAGAUACUCUAAUGCUGAUCUCCCCCAGCUUUUUCCUAGCUUGGAGAACUCUGAGUUGGCCACCCUCAAUUGUGACGUUAAUCCUCAAAUCAUUAAGGAUUUUUUGUUCAGUAUUGGCAGUCUUAAAGCUCCAGGCCCGGAUGGAUACCCUGCUAAGUUCUACCAUGAUUUUUGGGAUCUUUGUCAGGGAACUUUUGUUGAGUUAGUUGCUGGUUGUUUCUGCUCUGCAAGCAUCCUGGAUGAUCUAAAUGACACGCUGAUUACCCUUGUUCCUAAAGUGGCUAGUCCUAGCUCUGUUGCCCAGUUAAGGCCUAUCAGCCUUUGCAAUACGUUGUACAAAGUGGUGUCUAAGAUCAUUGUUCAGAAGCUCAGGCCUCUCAUGCAAAAGAUUGUCAGUCCUGCGCAAGCUAGCUUCAUCCCUGGCAGGCAGAUUGUUGACAACAUUAUCGUUGCCCAAGAGGUCCUUCAUAAAUUCAGAAAUUCUAAAGGCAAGAAGGGGUUCAUCGCUUGGAAAAUUGACCUCUCCAAAGCCUAUGACAGGAUUAACUGGGAUUUCAUCUAUGAUGUGCUAUGGGAAAUUGGGAUUAGAGGCAAACUCCUGGUUCUUAUCAUGCAGUGCAUCAAGUCGGUCAGAUACCAAGCCAUUCUCAAUGGUGAGCUUACUGGAAGGUUCUCUCCGAAUGCUGGGAUCAAACAAGGUGACCCCCUCUCCCCUUACAUUUUUGUCCUAUGCAUGGAAAAACUUUCCCAUAUUAUCAUUGAACAUAUCUCCUCUGGAACCUGGAAACCUGUUAAGGUUGCUAGAAAUGGCCCUGCUAUAUCCCACCUUUUCUUUGCGGAUGACCUCAUUUUAUUCGGGGAAGCCUCUAUCCACCAAGCUAAGCUUAUGAAGCAUUGCUUGGACCUCUUUUGUGGUGCCUCGGGUCAGCAAGUUAGCUUUGAGAAAUCUAGAAUCUGCUGUUCCCCUAAUACUGAAACUGGAAUUGCUGCUUGUAUAGCCAAUAUGUGCGGGUCUCCCCUCACGGAUUGCCUUGGGAAUUAUCUUGGUGUUCCCUUGAUCCAAUCUAGAAUUACCAAGGAUACUUACUUUGGGAUUGUUGACAAAGUGCAGCGCAGAUUAGCCUCCUGGAAGAGCCACACUUUAUCUAUGGCAGGGAGACUCUCUUACUUGCAAGCUGUCACCUCUGCUAUUCCAAUCUAUACGAUGCAAUCGGUUGAGCUUCCUAUAUCUACUUGUAACCAGCUUGAUAAGAUUAACAGGGAUUUCUUGUGGGGUUAUACCGGUGACCAAACUAAAAUCCACCUUGUCAACUGGGACACUGUUUGCCAUCCUAAGAGCUGUGGUGGGCUAGGUCUAAAAAAGACCCAUUUUAUGAACCAGGCCCUUCUUGCCAAGACUGGUUGGAAACUUAUUCAAAAAAAGCAGGGUCUUUGGUCCCAAGUUCUCAAUGGCAAGUACCUAAAAGACCAAAGUUUGCUUGCUGCGCCUAAUCUUAAAUUCCUAAAUUGCUCUAGUACUUGGCGAGGUAUUCUUUUUGGGACUCAACUCGCCUCCAAAGGUCUUAAAUAGAGAGUUGAGAAUGGUGACAAUAUCUUGUUUUGGAAGAAUAAUUGGGCUGACUGUGGUCCUCUGGAGAACUUCACCACAGUCCCCCUUACUGCUGAUAUGCUGGAUUGGGCUGGCUGUGGUCCUCUGGAGAACUUCACCAUUCUCAUUUUCAACUUUUAUUUUUACAAAGACUUUCAAAAUCAAUGGACUGGCCUGUGUAGGGUAUUACAAUUGUGUUACUUUUUGUUUUGUUGUCGGUGAGCUAUAGCUUCGUCAAUUGGGAUAUCAUAGCAUCAAUUGCUUUAUAUAAAGCUCUUUUCUAUAGAGAAGUCCCAGAUAAACAUGCUAGAACGUGGCAGACAUGUAUCCACUUGUUUCUUGUUUCAUGCUGCAGGCUUUGCAGAUCAAAAUUGUAUGGAUAUAUAUUUACAUCAAUCACAUUAUAUGAAGACCACCAAUACUUUUUCCUGUGCCAAAGCAUGCGUACCCUGUUCUAAUCGUACCAUCACUUCCAUGUAGCUGCUGGUAUGAAAGAGAAGAAGACAAUACAAUCUAAUAGAUGCUCAUUCUACCCCCAAAAUAAUAGUAAUAACAAUAAUUUGUAACACCACUCGUAAUGUUGUUGUUAAAUUAUGUUAUCGGCUCAUAUUAACGUGGAAAUUCGUAAUAUUACGGUUGCGGUGUUAAUAUUACACCAAAAAUUUCUCGUAAUCAUAUAGAAUAUAAUUGAGUUGAGUCACUUACAGACUACAGUGCGAGUAGUAGUCUUUUUGUGGGUAGCAGAAAUAAUUAUACUGAAUAUAAACAUGAUACGCAUGUCACAAGUGGACUUAUAAAUAUAGCUACAAGUCUACUACUAGUUACACUCGGAAGUCCAAAGAAGAGCUUAGAAAAGCUUUGGUGACGGUCUCCACCAGCAAGUGCAUUUUGUUGUUAUACUGGUUUGAAAAUUUGAUGACUAUGGGAAAUUUCUCAUUACUCGCUGCUGCUGCAAGAAGGUAUUAUAAUUUAUAUGCAUCUAUUUACUUUAAUUUUUUUUUUUUUUUCCCUCUUCACACCUCCUAAAUCUUGUUAUUUUCAUUUUAAGCUCUGGUGACUAUCGUGGCUGUGUGCCAGCCCUAAGUUGCCUUUUGAAUUCUAAUUAUGUUUUAAAAAUAAUAAUAAAACGAGGAUGCAAUGUAAGAUGGAAAUAGAACUACUUUAUUUCAAUUGGUCUUUGACUCCGGCCGAAGAAAAAAAAAAAAAAAAAAAGAGAGGGAGGGGGCCUUUUGAGUAAUUAGUUAUUUUCCAGCAUAAAACAACACUCAGAAUGCUAGUUAGGGCCGCCGCGGUUGUUGGUGUACUUUUUAUAUUGAUUUUUUGUGACUGGAGAUCCUCUUUAAGGUUGAAUUAUAGAUAUCGUUUUCACUUGCCAAAAAAUAUCCUUAAUUUGUUUUUUUUUUCUUUUUCUCUCUCUAUAGUUUCAUUAUAACUUUUAUAUUAAAGGACCAUUUUAUAUAAAUUUUUAUUUCAUGAGAAAAUUUAUCUGGAGUUAGCGAAUAAGUCCAUGUAAUACUAAAUCCAACUUCCUUACGCUGAUGAGUGGAACAUAAGACUUUCACCAUAUGAAAGUGAUGCCAUUGUUAUUUAUGUUUUUACUGAAACUAACACUCUGCGUCAAUAUUGAAGGCUUGAAGGUAAAGUGGCACUAAUCACUGGUGGGGCGAGCGGCAUAGGAGAGUCCACUGCAAGACUCUUCUCAAAACAUGGAGCUAAAGUUGUGAUUGCAGAUGUGCAAGAUAACUUGGCUGAAUCUAUUUGUAGAGACCUAAGUUCUUCGUCUACUUCAUUCGUCCAUUGCGACGUAACAAAAGAAGAAGAUGUCGAAAAUGCUGUUAAAACAGCCACAAGCAAAUAUGGAAAGCUAGACAUCAUGUUCAACAAUGCAGGCAUAGCUGGUAUAGCAAAAACCAACAUCCUUG